rnacentral:rRNA from 1 species
UACGUAGGGUCCGAGCGUUGUCCGGAAUUACUGGGCGUAAAGCGUGCGCAGGCGGCCCGCGAGGUGUCACGUGAAAGCCCCGGGCUCAACCCGGGAGGGUCGUGGCAAACCGGCGGGCUUGAGGCCGGUAGAGGUGGGUGGAACUCCUGGUGGAGUGGUGAAAUGCGUAGAGAUCAGGAAGAACACCCGUGGCGAAGGCGGCCCACUGGGCCGGUACUGACGCUGAGGAGCGAAAGCCAGGGGAGCAAACGGG